UACGGAGGGGGCUAGCGUUGUUCGGAAUUACUGGGCGUAAAGCGCACGUAGGCGGCUUUGUAAGUUAGAGGUGAAAGCCCGGGGCUCAACCCCGGAAUUGCCUUUAAGACUGCAUCGCUAGAAUUGUGGAGAGGUAAGUGGAAUUCCGAGUGUAGAGGUGAAAUUCGUAGAUAUGUGGAGGAACACCGAUGGCGAAGGCAGCCCCCUGGGUCAAGACUGACGCUCAUGCACGAAAGCGUGGGGAGCAAACAGG
rnacentral:rRNA from 1 species